AGAUGAGUCUGGAAUCUGCGUUGGUUUGAUGUCUUCUAUUGGAGGUUACAUUAUAUUAUAUAUCAUAUACUGAGUAUUGAGUACUUUAUACUAUAACACGGUUUUAAUAGAUUUGCUGAAAUAACUUUAUUUUAUUAUGUCGUGUAUAACUUUCAAUCGCAUGGUGUAUAACUAUAAUUUAAUUAGUUAGAAACAUACGUCAUAGGCUGACUCAGCGAUGACUUGGCAUAUCUACGCCUACGUAGUUCCGUUUAGUCAAGUAAACGUACGUUCAAGCACCCUCUGGUCGAUGUCCACGUAAUUGUCAGACACUGCUAGGGUGUAUAUAGUUUUGUGAAAUAAAACUACUAGAAAAUAUAUGCAUGCAGAAACCCUCGCCUUGCUGACAAAACCAUUGUAUUUUCCGAACAUGAAGUAUCUAAAGUAGUUGUCAUGGUAACACGAUAAUUUUUUAAGAAUAUUCUUACAAAUGAAAAUCGCCUAAAAAUAUCACUUUUAAUUACAAAAUUAUCAAUUUC